UCUUGGCUCGCGUCGACUUGGGCUCUUCGGUAUAUAAAUUCCUCGCCAACGGAAGGGUCACUAUCAGUCGAGUGUCGUUAAUCGAUCCAAACGCAGUUCACUUUUCGCGGUCAAGUCAACCCUCCACCAAAUUAUCCAAAAUGAAAUUCCUGCUCAUGACCAUCUGCCUUGUGGUGCUGGCCUUCGCCCUGGUGGCCGCCGUGCCUGCCGUCAACGAUGAGAGCAUCUUCGGAGCCGAUGGAGCCGCCGCCGACGACACCAUCAACCCCCAGGACACCCAGGAUCUCCUGUUCAAGAAGCUGCUGCUGAAGAAAAAGCUGCUCCUACUGGGUUAGAUAGAGGUCUAGGUCUAAGUCCGUAAGCCCCCCGACAAAGCAACCCAUGCCUAGUCUCUCCAGUGAGGGCGGGCUUUCGACGAGGCAGUGCCGAUUUGCAACUGCCUGGUGCAGAAGCAGGUGAUGGGACUUCCCUCCCACCGAGACGCCCAACCGCCACAAGCUUGGGAAGCUUUCUCUUAGAGCGAUAGGAAUUUCUACUUUUAAUUUACUUUUCACCUGUUUGAUAAAUGGUUCUAUUGAACCAUGAAUGAUUGGAGGACGACCACGUGAGUGCAAUGAACGAUUUUAACUCUAUUUUGUGUAACAUAAAGCCGACAGUCAAAUAGCUUGAAUGUACAACCUGAAUAAACGAUAAGACUUACAAACUGAAACAAA